UUUUAUCAUUUAACUAAAUGUAAAAGUUACCGAUUUUAACCCGCUUCUGUUUCUCGCAAAUAUAGGCACACCACCACUUGUUGUAAGGCAAAAAACAUAAGCAGCCAUGUCUGUUCGUAACCGACUAUUCGCAUGACGACACAAGUCGGGAUGGGUACGAAUUAUGCCAAUCAUAACAACGACUGUAUUUUUGGAAGGUUUAUACUAAAUUGUUUGCAGUUUUAUUGUUAUUGUUGUACAAAUAAAGAUUUCUGUACAAGUUACUUAAACUUGGAAACCUUGCAGCUGGCUUUUCUCAUCUCCCUUUCUACACUAACCGCCUCUAUAAGUCUCCUGAGGCAAGAGGAGUAUCGACGGUGAGAGGGGCCUUCAGCACAAUGAAAAUGAUAAAAACAGAAAAUCAUCUCACUUGAAGUUUGCUGUCCUCAAUGUUCAGAUAAUGGUCAGCAAAGAAGUACCAGACAUUCAGGCAGUGGAUGCCCAGAACCAGGAGAAGUCAUGGAAAACAGUUGUUUGAAGUUAACAUUGUAUAUUUGUAUACUCGUGGUAAAAUCUGUAUUGUUGUUAUUUUCAAUAAUGUUUCCUUUCUAAUGCCUACUGUUAUUUUGCUUGUUACUUAAUAUAUUAUAAUAUAUGAAUUUAAUAUCGGGAACCAAAAACUAAAUAAUAAAAUAAUAUGUUUGACUUUGAUUUAGAACAUGUACUUAAUAUUUAAAAAUCCAUACGCAAAAUGGGGCCCACCCCUUCUGCACCAACCCCUUAUUGCGCUGUAUUGCC